rnacentral:lncRNA from 1 species
UUUUAUUUUAUUUUAUUCAAGUUGAGUGUCAAACUCCAAUUCAUCAAUGUUUCAAAUACUGCACUGAAGGGAUGCUGAGUCACACAAAUUAAACUCACAGAGGCUGUUCAUUAGAAACAUAAUGACGAUUUAAUAAUUUAUAAGAAAUAGCAUAACUCUCACAAGGGGCAGAUUACUCCUUUUAACCUGGAGUGCCCAUUUUUUUCCUAUUGAAAAACCAUAUGAAGAGGCAAAUAAAAUUCAAAAGGUUGUUUCAUCAAUAUGGAAAGUUAACUAAGGAAUACGGAAGUUUAAUGUCAUUAGAAAUUGAGAAUUUAUGGUAUCCAUACUCACAACAAAGAUUAACUGCAAAGAACUCAAAAGAAUAUCUUCAUUCCCAAUUUUGGAGGCCUUCUCAACUGUUGCAUCCAGAGAAAUUAGCUCUCUGAAAACUAGGCUUGAAAUUGUUUCCCACAGCCCCAAGAGUAUACUGAAGACAAGCAGACAUACUUGAGACAUCCCUAAGAAUAUAGUUCCAUAUUUGAAUGAAUAAACCUAAGCUCCAUUACCUUUGGAUUAGUCA